GCCCUCCAAGUCCGUUCUACCUGUCUCCUGCUGCCCCACGGAGGCAGUGGACAGGCAUGUCUUUCUCCCACUCUGGGAACCCUCCUCCCAGUGCCAAUCUGAUGGGCAAAGGCAGCCACAAAUGACUGCUCUGGAUUAAAAGGCUGCCACUGUCCUAGUCCCUCCCUCCUCCUGCCCAAUUUCCUUGUGGUUUGGAGACAGCAAAUGAAGCUGGGAUUGCAAGGUGCUGCGAGAUGCAGGUGAACUGGAGGUGACAGUCACUGAGAGCCAGAAACUUAACACAGAAGGAAAGAAAAUCCAUGGCUGCCGGCUCACCCGGAGACCGGAGCAGUUGCUGUAAGUCAAGGUCGAUGGCCAGACAGACAGGGAGAGGCAAAGGAAGUGCUGGCGUUUGCUGAGCUUUGCUGACUGCUAAGCUCCGGGCUGUGGCUGAGCCUCAGAUGUGCACAGUGUUGUGGAGACCUCGGCUUUGCUUCCAGGCUGCUGGCCCAGGAUCCUGUCUGUGACUGUGUCUACAUCUCUGUUGCUUUCUUAGGUACAGAGGUUUAUGUAACUGAUUUGAAUUGAGUGUUAAUUAUAUUUUAGUUUUCAUGG